rnacentral:rRNA from 1 species
AUUGAACGCUGGCGGCAGGCCUAACACAUGCAAGUCGAACGAGUGGCGGACGGGUGAGUAAUGUCUGGGAAACUGCCCGAUGGAGGGGGAUAAAUACUGGAAACGGUAGCUAAUACCGCAUACCAUCGGAUGUGCCCAGAUGGGAUUAGCUAGUAGGUGGGGUAACGGCUCACCUAGGCGACGAUCCCUAGCUGGUCUGAGAGGAUGACCAGCCACACUGGCACUGCUACCCGUUCCAGCCUCCUACGGGAGGCAGCAGUGGGGAAUAUUGCACAAUGGGCGCAAGCCUGAUGCAGCCAUGCCGCGUGUAUGAAGAAGGCCUUCGGGUUGUAAAGUACUUUCAGCGAGGAGGCGUUACUCGCAGAAGAAGCACCGGCUAACUCCGUGCCAGCAGCCGCGGUAAUAC